AAAGCGCAGUAGGGUGCGCUCGCGGGGCUUUUUCUUUGGAAGGUGGCCUGAAAAUUGAAUUGAAGUGUCUUUGUUUCUCCUGUUGUCCAGGGGAACAUAGAUGGCUGGAGACAGAAUCUAGAGCCUUCAAAUAAUGUGGAGAUGUUUCCACCUUCAGGUCAGUGGGACCAGACAAGGGGAGUGGUGGUUGUCUCUGCCUGGGAAACUGACCAUCUUUGUUUUUGUAAUUCUUCAGGUUCCACUGGGCUGAUUCCCCCCUCCCACUUUCAAGCUCGGCCCCUUUUAACUCUGCCAAGAAUGGCUCCCACCUGGCUCUCAGACAUUCCCCUGGUCCAACCCCCAGGCCAUCAAGAUGUCUCAGAGAGGCGGCUAGACACCCAGAGACCUCAAGUGACCAUGUGGGAACGGGAUGUUUCCAGUAACAGGCAGGAGCCAGGGUGGAGAGGCAGGUCCUGGGAGCUGGAGGGGUCACAGGCCCUGAGCCAGCAGGCUGAAGUGAUCGCUCGGCAGCUGCAAGAGCUGCGGCGGCUGGAGGAGGAGGUCCGGCUCCUGCGGGAGACCUCGCUGCAGCAGAAGAUGAGGCUAGAGGCCCAGGCCAUGGAGCUAGAGGCUCUGGCACGGGCGGAGAAGGCCGGUCGAACUGAGGCUGAGGGCCUGCGUGCUGCUUUGGCUGGGGCUGAGGUUAUCCGGAAAAACUUGGAAGAGGGGAGCCAGCGGGAGCUGGAAGAGGUUCAGAGGCUGCACCAAGAGCAGCUGUCCUCUUUGACACAGGCUCACGAGGAGGCUCUUUCCAGUUUGACCAGCAAGGCCGAGGGCUUGGAGAAGUCUCUGAGUAGUCUGCAAACCAGGAGAGCAGGGGAAGCCAAGGAGCUGGCCGAGGCUCAGAGGGAGGCCGAGCUGCUUCGGAAGCAGCUGAGCAAGACCCAGGAAGACUUGGAGGCUCAGGUGACCCUGGUUGAGAAUCUAAGAAAAUACAUCGGGGAACAAGUCCCUUCUGAGGUCCACAGCCAGACAUGGGAACUGGAGCAACAGAAGCUUUUGGAAACCAUGCAGCACUUGCAGGAGGACCGGGACAGCCUGCACGCCACCGCGGAGCUGCUGCAGGUGCGGGUGCAGAGCCUCACACACAUCCUCACCCUGCAGGAGGAGGAGCUGGCCAGGAAGGUUCAACCUUCAGAUUCCCUGGAGCCUGAGUUUACCAGGAAGUGCCAGUUCCUGCUGAACCGCUGGCGGGAGAAGGUGUUUGCCCUCAUGGUGCAGCUAAAGGCCCAGGAGCUGGAACACAGUGACUCUGUUAAGCAGCUGAAGGGACAGGUGGCCUCACUCCAGGAACAAGUGACAUCCCAGAGCCAGGAGCAGGCCAUCCUGCAGCGAUCCCUGCAGGACAAAGCCGCAGAGGUGGAGGUGGAGCGGAUAGGUGCCAAGGGCCUGCAGUUGGAGCUGAGCCGUGCUCAGGAGGCCAGGCAUCGGUGGCAGCAGCAGACAGCCUCAGCUGAGGAGCAGUUGAGGCUUGUGGUCAAUGCUGUCAGCAGCUCUCAGAUCUGGCUCGAGAGCACCAUGGCUAAGGUGGAAGAGGCUGCCGCCCGGCUUCCCAGCCUCAGCAACCGACUCAGCUAUGCUGUUUGCAAGGUCCACACCAUUCGGGGCCUGAUUGCUCGAAAGCUUGCCCUUGCUCAGCUGCGCCAGGAGAGCUGUCCCCUACCACCACCGGUCACAGACGUGAGCCUUGAGUUGCAGCAGCUGCGGGAAGAACGGAACCGCCUGGAUGCAGAACUGCAGCUGAGUGCCCGCCUCAUCCAGCAGGAGGUGGGCCGGGCUCGGGAGCAAGGGGAGGCAGAGCGGCAGCAGCUGAGCAAGGUGGCCCAGCAGCUGGAGCAGGAGCUGCAGCAGACCCAGGAGUCCCUGGCUAGCUUGGGGCUGCAGCUGGAGGUGGCACGCCAGGGCCAGCAGGAGAGCACAGAGGAGGCUGCCAGUCUGCGGCAGGAGCUGACCCAGCAGCAGGAACUCUAUGGGCAAGGUGUCAAGAGGGAAAGGGGUGCUUCCCUUGGAGGGUGGAGUGGGAACUGCAAAUCAAAGCUCCUGCUGAUAUGCCCCGUCUGCACUUUCACCCCAGCCCUGCAAGAGAAGGUGGCUGAAGUGGAAACUCGGCUGCGGGAGCAACUCUCAGACACAGAGAGGAGGCUGAACGAGGCUCGGAGGGAGCAUGCCAAGGCCGGUGAGCCUUGCCAGGGUGGAUAGGGCCUUCCAGGAAGAAGGAAGUGUUAAGACAUAAGGUUAUUAUUUUCCCCUCAAAGUUUUUUCAAAGCUUCAUUACAGGAAGUAAUGAAGGUAUCCAGGAAUAGCACAGAUGAAUUAUCACAUCGUGAACACACCCAUGUAGCC
rnacentral:sRNA from 1 species